rnacentral:SRP_RNA from 1 species
GCCGGGCGCGGUGGCGGGUGCUUGUGGUCCCAGCUACUCGGGAGGCUGAGGCAGUAGAAUGACGUGAACCCAGGAGGCGGAGCUUGCAGUAAGCCGAGAUCGUGCCACUGCACUCCAGCCUGGGCGACAGAGCAAGACUCCAUCUACAAAAAAAAAAAAANNNNNNNNNNGCCCAGGUUGGAGUGCAGUGGCAUGUUGACUCACUGCAAGCUCCGCCUCCUGGGUUCACGCCAUUCGCCUGCCUCAG